rnacentral:rRNA from 1 species
GACGUAGGUGGCGAACGUUAUCCGGAAUUAUUGGGCGUAAAGGGUGCGUAGGCGGCAUGAUAAGUUAUUGGCGGUAAAUCGAGGCUCAACCUCGUGGAAACUAAUAAUACUGUUUUGCUUGAGUACAGGAGAGGUUAACGGAACUCCAUGUGGAGCGGUAAAAUGUGUAGAUAUAUGGAAGAACACCAAUAACGGCGAAGGCAGUUAACUAUUCUGUUACUGACGCUGAGGCACGAAAGCGUGGGGAGCAAAACGG